rnacentral:rRNA from 1 species
GACGAACGCUGGCGGCGUGCCUAAUACAUGCAAGUAGAACGCUGAAGGAGGAGCUUGCUUCUCUGGAUGAGUUGCGAACGGGUGAGUAACGCGUAGGUAACCUGCCUGGUAGCGGGGGAUAACUAUUGGAAACGAUAGCUAAUACCGCAUAAUAGCAGUUGUCGCAUGACAACUGUUUGAAAGGUGCAAUUGCACCACUACCAGAUGGACCUGCGUUGUAUUAGCUAGUUGGUGGGGUAACGGCUCACCAAGGCGACGAUACAUAGCCGACCUGAGAGGGUGAUCGGCCACACUGGGACUGAGACACGGCCCAGACUCCUACGGGAGGCAGCAGUAGGGAAUCUUCGGCAAUGGACGGAAGUCUGACCGAGCAACGCCGCGUGAGUGAAGAAGGUUUUCGGAUCGUAAAGCUCUGUUGUAAGAGAAGAACGAGUGUGAGAGUGGAAAGUUCACACUGUGACGGUAUCUUACCAGAAAGGGACGGCUAACUACGUG